CAGGUAAAGAAGCUGUAGUAGGAGGUUUGCUUCCAUGGCAGGCUCUGAAGCAGAGACAGGAUGGGGGCAUGUUGUAAAAUCAUCUUUUAAGGCCUGUGACUGAAUACAAAUUGACUGCAGUGCUGAAGAGUGAAUAGGAACACAUACUGAGCAAGACGGACAAGAUCCCUGGAUAUUGGGAACAGAACAUGCUACUGGCUUUGCAGAGUUCUGAACUGAUCUUCAAUGUGGGACGAAUCCUCAUGCACACUUUGAAAAAGUACAAAUGCUGAGUAUCAAACAACUUGUCUACUUUGAUUAACAACACAGGAUAAAAUCUUAGCUUAAACUAUCCAGAGAGAUUCUGUUAUGAAUGAGGAUUUUACCUUUCAGGACUCCACCGGCCUUGAUCAAGUCAAGUGUGUGUCCAGUUGCAUAAUGAGAAUGAGAGUCCUUCAUAUGUUAUCAACAGGCAACAGGAGACAGAGGAGAGGACGUUUGAGCCAAAAGAGCACAACAAAUAGGAGGCUAGUGUUAGAUGAACAGAGCAAAGGUCAAGUAGAGUAAGUUCAAAGAGAAGAUUACCUUUCUAUUCUUAUAAGUCACAGAGACUAAUAAAGAGCUAAAAGAUUAUGUAGCUUUGAGACGUUCCAUUUGGUAAAAUUUAGAGUUCCAAAUAGUUUUGCCAUUUUAGUGGUAUUCUGGGCUUUGCCCUUGUUCUAAACCAGUAAUAUGUAAUGAAAAAAAAAUUGCUUAAAUGUCAUGUCACCAUUUUAUCCCAGGGCCAUCUGUUUAUAUAGUUUCUCUUGAACCUUUUUCCUACUAUCAUUUAAUUUAAAGUAUUGUAGCAGAUGGUGUAGAAACCAUCUCAUAAAGUACAUUCGUCUUUCUUUGCUUAUAGGAAAUCUUUAAAAUUUUGCCCAUAGAUCAUUGUUAACUAGCUUCGCUAUAUAAAAAUAGAGAAAUAUGCUAAGAAGAAUUAAUGGGACAAGUCCUUUAGCCCCUGCUUUUUAUUUUUUAAUGCCCUCUUAUUCAAAGCUAAUUCUCAGCUAAACAAAUGGGAGCAUUACCAGAGCAAGAAUUGACUACAAAGAGUGUUAAGAUUUAGGAAAUUGCUAUAAUAAAGGUAAAAUAUUUUCCAAAC